AGAACUCCCCAGGCCCUGCCGGUGCGCUGGUGUUUCUCAUAGUAUGUGGCCACCUCUCCAGUCACUUCGGCCCUAGGAGCUUCUUGUUACACCAUGAUUUUGUCACUACCUCCGCAGCUUCCCACCUCCUGCUUCCGGCUUCCAGAAGGAAGCGCGUGAUGGAGGGGAAAUGACAGGGCCAGGAGGCAGCGGUCAGGCUGGGCCGAGUUUCUGACAGAAGCCAACACUUCUGGCCCCACAGUGCUCACGGCCUCCCUGACUCCUCACCACAUCACAGCUGAAAAGGCUCACGUCUUAUCUCCCCUCUCAACCUCUGGGGGCUUCUCUGCUUUCAGAAGGAGCCCCUGGAGCCCCUGGCCGAACACAUCUGAAAGCACGGAGCCAGACCUCUGCAGCGCCCUCCAGCGGGCAGGUUCUGCGGGCAGCCAUCUCCUCGCAGGCCAGAACACCCCACGUCACUCCAGGACGGUUCGCCACCUUUGAGAAGAGAGGACUCCAGUGUCUGUUCGCUCUGGAAAUGUGGGCAUGUUCCCAUUCCAAAGGUGAUAGGAUCUGAGGGGAGGAUCCUUCCCAUUUUCAAAGCCUUCCUAAAAUCCCACUGAUUAGUGGGGAGGAGUGCAAGUCUACCCUUUCCCCGAACCACCCACAUGAAAUUUAGCAACAACAACAACAAAAAA
rnacentral:lncRNA from 1 species